UUACGGUCAAAUCAAGAUGAAAACACCGCUUCUCCUUCGAUUGCCGAAGCUAAGUAUCGUAGAGCCAGGUGAGUAUUUAGAUGGGGAACCGCUGAGAAAU